GACGAACGCUGGCGGCGUGCCUAACACAUGCAAGUCGAACGGAGAAUCAGCAAUGAUUCUUAGUGGCGAACGGGUGAGUAACGCGUAGACAACCUGCCUUCUAGAUGGGGACAACACUGCGAAAGUGGUGCUAAUACCGAAUGUUGCAUUAAGCCUGCAUGGGCUUGAUACUAAAGGUGGCCUCUAUUUAUAAGCUACCACUAGAAGAUGGGUCUGCGUCUGAUUAGCUAGUUGGUGAGGUAAUGGCUCACCAAGGCGAUGAUCAGUAGCCGGUCUGAGAGGAUGAACGGCCACACUGGGACUGAGACACGGCCCAGACUCCUACGGGAGGCAGCAGUGGGGAAUCUUCCGCAAUGGACGAAAGUCUGACGGAGCAACGCCGCGUGAGUGAAGAAGGUUUUCGGAUCGUAAAGCUCUGUCUUUGAGGACGAAUGUGCUUAAUGUGAAUAAUGUUAAGUAAUGACGGUACUCGAGGAGGAAGCCACGGCUAACUACGUGCCAGCAGCCGCGGUAAUACGUAGCUGGCAAGCGUUGUCCGGAAUUAUUGGGCGUAAAGCGCGCGCAGGCGGGAUAUUAAGUCUGUUUUAAAAGUUCGGGGCUCAACCCCGUGAUGGAAUGGAAACUAAUAUUCUUGAGUGCAGGAGAGGAAAGUGGAAUUCCCAGUGUAGCGGUGAAAUGCGUAGAUAUUGGGAGGAACACCAGUGGCGAAGGCGACUUUCUGGACUGUGUCUGACGCUGAGGCGCGAAAGCCAGGGGAGUGAACGGGAUUAGAUACCCCGGUAAUCCUGGCCGUAAACGAUGGGUACUAGGUGUAGGAGGUAUCGACCCCUUCUGUGCCGGAGUUAACGCAAUAAGUACCCCGCCUGGGGAGUACGGCCGCAAGGUUG
rnacentral:rRNA from 1 species